rnacentral:miRNA from 1 species
ACAGCCGUAUGAGUGGCAGAAUA